rnacentral:rRNA from 1 species
GAUGAACGCUGGCGGCGUGCCUAAUACAUGCAAGUCGAGCGAACUUUUGGGAGCUUGCUCCCAAAAGUUAGCGGCGGACGGGUGAGUAACACGUGGGUAACCUGCCUGUAAGACUGGGAUAACUUCGGGAAACCGGAGCUAAUACCGGAUAACAUUGAAGACCAUAUGGCCUUCAAUUAAAAGGUGGCUUUUAGCUACCACUUACAGAUGGACCCGCGGCGCAUUAGCUAGUUGGUGAGGUAACGGCUCACCAAGGCGACGAUGCGUAGCCGACCUGAGAGGGUGAUCGGCCACACUGGGACUGAGACACGGCCCAGACUCCUACGGGAGGCAGCAGUAGGGAAUCUUCCGCAAUGGACGAAAGUCUGACGGAGCAACGCCGCGUGAGCGAAGAAGGCCUUCGGGUCGUAAAGCUCUGUUGUUAGGGAAGAACAAGUAUCGUUCGAAUAGGGCGGUACCUUGACGGUACCUAACCAGAAAGCCACGGCUAACUACGUG